AUACGCUAUGUAGGAUAAAUUUUAUAUAUAUAGACGGACGAUAUUGCGUCACAUCAUAUCUCAAACCGACUCAUGCAUAUAUUUAGCAAAGAUCAAAAGGUAAUAAAAUUGGCAAAAUCAAAAGAUCGUAGUAUGUUUAGUAAAAAAAUUAAAAUUAUGGUUAAAUAAGUUCAUUUUUCCUUGUAUUUUUAGUUUUAUACAAAAGUUUAUUAGUUUUUUUUAGGGAAAAGUUUAUUAGUUUAUAGAUUAUAAAUGAUUAUAAAGAAUAGAAAAAUUAUUUUUGAAAAUUUUAAAAUAACAAUAUAAUUUAUCAAAGUUAGAUAUAAUUAAAUGAUUUAAAUACAUUCCAAAAUUUCAGCGGCGGUCAUCCUCUAUUUCCGCGGCAACCGGAUGGUUCGUCCGAAAAAAAACGGACAUUUGUGUUUCAAUGAUUGGUUACAAAAGCUAUUGAAGAUCGGUUUGAAGUUGGUGUUGGGCGAUUUAAAUGAAAGACAGGUCCGAAGCCGCCCUCUCCAAGCAUACCAUCUAAUGAGAAGUUAUUGGUAGCUCGAGCCACUACGAUGAAGUCAAAAUGAGGCAUAUACACAGAAUAAGCAAAAACGUUGCUGCUGAUGAAACUAGGGUUGCUACGAGCACCCUACUUUUUUUCAAACUCGAGCUCUCAUCUGAAAGUUGAAACGCUAUGAGUCAAUCAAGUGAAAAUAAAAUUUUCCAUGAAAUAAUUAAAUUUGCCAGUCUUGAUUGUGUGAUUACCUAAUUCAGAAAAGGCCAUCCUAAUGAAAAUAUCUUGCCCACCAUCUUCUUUAAAUUGUUUGAUAUCAAUAAGGUCUCCAAACCAAAAGUAGCAUCCUCUUCCAGUUACGACAUUCGAACUGGCGUAGGCCAUACAGGAACAAUCUUUCAAGCAGAACAUCUCACAUUCCUCCAUGGUCAAAUUUGAAUUGGUUGAAUGAUUUAUCAUAUCAGGCAACUUAAUACUUGAAUACUUUAUGAACCUGUCUCCUCCUUGACAAUAUAAUGGCGUUCGUCGAACGCAGCCGCCGGACCAAUCUGCUGCAUACCAGUUAUUUUCUAAUUUCGGCACAAAUCUAUUUAGACAUGAACAUAGAGGUGUAUUGGUUAUAUCACAACUUCCAUCAGCACCACAUGUGUUGUAAGUAUCACAAUUAUCUGCUGGUACAGAUGAGAUACGCUGCCACUUCUGCGUCCGGUCUAUCCAUGCAUACCGGUUUAAGACGCCAUUUUCAUUCAAGACAACCCGCGUAAAUACUAAUUUGUUAACCAGCUCAAAAGUAUAAUAUGUCUCGUUUUCGUUCAUAACAAACGAAUAAUGAAAGAUUGGAUUCUUUUUUAAGUAAGGCAAUCCGCUCGGACCAAUACCAUUCCAUGGUCUUGAUCGACCUAUGAUAACUGAUUUACUCUCAAUAAUCAGCUGCAAAGCAGAGGAAUGAAGCCGAUAAAUGAAUUCACCUUCAGAAGGAUCAUCUUUGCUCUUCCACGAAGUUGCGUGAACUUCAACGCCUCCGGCCAGUCUUCCAAUUUUCAUUCCAGGCAUAAAUGUUCUGUCAGGAUGAUGAAAACUUUGCCACAAGUAAUUUUCCGGGUCGACGUCCGUUUCGUCUCUAAUAACGAAAUUUCCUGAAUCCAGAAGCUGUGCAAUAGGAGUCUGCACAGGUCUUGAUGUAUCGGCAGACCAUAUGGUGAAGUUUUCUUGAUUCAGAAGAAUAAGACCUCCUCUGUUAUCAAAUUGUAGUAAUCCUGGUGAAUUCGAAAGCGGAAUUUGUCUGUUGGCAACCCAAACAACAGUUCCAUCAGAAAUCUUUUUGAACCACACACCCAAAUAUCUAUAAGAAUUGAUGCUGAAAAAUCCCAUUUCAAAGGAGCCAUCAGCUGAAACUAUAGUGUCACCACCAUCUCUAAUAGACUGAGUUGCAGACAUUGUGUCGAGGGCUGUUACUGAUGUUAGAAAGAAGGCGAAGAGGAGAAUGAUUAAGAUUUCCAUUGAUGUUCUGUGAUUGUGAUGGUGUUGCACUUGCAGCUGUUAUUUGAUUACAUUUUCGUACGUGAUUGACGAUUUGACUUUAAAGUUUGACUUCGAAUGUGAUGUGUUCAAAGGAUAAUAUAUUAGUUUCAAAGGAAAUUUCUUGCGUCCAAACUCAAUUAGAGAAGACAUGAAAAACAUGAAAAAUGACUCUGUGUCUUAUUUUAGAAAGGGUAUUAUUCAUUUUUAUCACAUAAAAAAAUCUAUGUCGUGUUUUUGUGUGUUUAUAUGAAGUUUUGAUUUCUGUCUUUUUUUAGUUAAAAUUAAUUAAUAUAACUCGAAAUAUAAUCAUCAAUAUGGAUAAAAUAAAAAAGUUUAUUUAAUUUUUUUAAUUUAUGUGCAAAAGUCUAACAAUUUUUUUUAUAAGCUAAAUACCUUGCAUAGCAAGACAAACAGCAAAUAGAAAAACUAUUAUAAUCUUGAGCAGGACGAAGGGAGUAUUUUAGAAAGAUUAGGAGGAUUAGGAAGUAGUUAAUUACACUUAAAUUAUUAUAAUCUUUUUAUGAUAUCCUUUUAAAUUUUUAAAGUAAAUCAACAUAAAUUAAUAAUUUAAACAUCAAAGCCACUAUAUUUAAUGUAUAUAGUAAGACUAUAAAAGCAUUUUAAUAAUUUUAUCAAUAAUUUACGAACAGAAGAUCAAUUCACCUCCUCAACUUGGCGCGAAAUAUCAAAUGAAUCAUUCUCGCCGAUUUUGGUACAAACAAACUCAAAACUUGCGUUUUUCAUUCAAAUCAACCCCUCUGACACACAAAAAAUUUUAAAAAGAGAAUGAGAUUACGGUGGCUGGUACGGUCUUCGUUUUUCUACUUUCCUUUUCUUUUUUUGAAUUUUGCCUAUGCUUUUUGUAACUUGUUUUGCUUGUCUGGUUUUGUUAACCCAACCCAGACAAACUACAAAAAGGCUCAGGGAGACUCCACUCUUUGGCCUUUUCUCUCCUGUUUUGCGUGUGGUUUUCUUCUCUAUUUCUCUUAUAUUUAUAGUAUCAUGUGGUAGUGUAUUUAUAUUUGUCACGUCUUUCUGAAUUUUCCUCUUUUUUCGCGCAUCGUGCUUCCCUAUCCUGAUUGCUUUUGACGGUUGAGUUGCCUGUGCCUCUUCAGUUCUGGCGCCACAAUAGUUUCGAUUACUUUAUUGCCAUUUAUUACUUCUGCAUUUUGCCUCUUUUGCCUUUUUUUUUUCUUUGUCUUCCAAGUAAAGCUUAUAAAUAGUGCACUUCUUUGAUAUUUCUUUUCUUUACUUUUUUUUGGGAUUUCCUCUUCAUCUUUCUUCCACUUUCGUUUUCCUUCUUUCAUUAGUAUGGUCAAAAACAUCUUCGAGGCUAUGGAUGCGGGUAUGUUAAAUGACGAUGAGGUCACCGUUGUAUCUAGUCUUCCUUUACUUGAUCGACCGCUUACGCCUUUUCUUUCCCAUUUGUCGGAUAACGAGGAUGGACCUUCCGCUUCUAUCGGCGAUCUUCCUCCUUCAACAACUGAUGCUUCAAUCAAUCAAUACAUUAUUGCACUUCGAUCUAGAGCUGGAUUUUACAUCCGGAUGCCAAAAAAUGAGCAAAAUACUCAUAACAAGCAAAGGACUCAAUACCAAUCUCAUCAUAUGUCAAUUUUGUAUAUGAUUCUAACAUUUAGAAUGCAAGAUUAGCUAUUUUUACCGUUUUGCUGUGAUACUGCCAUGGAACUAUUUAAACUACCAUAUUGCCAUGAUUUUUAUGCUUUAAUCUUAAA